AUUGAACGCUGGCGGCAGGCCUAACACAUGCAAGUCGAACGGUAGCACAGAGAGCUUGCUCUCGGGUGACGAGUGGCGGACGGGUGAGUAAUGUCUGGGAAACUGCCCGAUGGAGGGGGAUAACUACUGGAAACGGUAGCUAAUGCCGCAUAACGUCGCAAGACCAAAGUGGGGGACCUUCGGGCCUCACACCAUCGGAUGUGCCCAGAUGGGAUUAGCUAGGAGGUGGGGUAAUGGCUCACCUAGGCGACGAUCCCUAGCUGGUCUGAGAGGAUGACCAGCCACACUGGAACUGAGCCACGGUCCAGACUCCUACGGGAGGCAGCAGUGGGGAAUAUUGCACAAUGGGCGCAAGCCUGAUGCAGCCAUGCCGCGUGUAUGAAGAAGGCCUUCGGGUUGUAAAGUACUUUCAGCGGGGAGGAAGGCGGUGAAGUUAAUAACUUCACCGAUUGACGUUACCCGCAGAAGAAGCACCGGCUAACUCCGUGCCAGCCGCCGCAGUAA
rnacentral:rRNA from 1 species